GCCAAACGAGCUCUACCGGAGGAGUCCCAAGACUUGGUUUAUGGAAAUUAAUAAAAUACCGUAUUGUGGGCCCAAUAGAUUGCUCCCAUUGUCAUAAAGAAAGACCAAGCCCUGGCGGAGGGAUAAGAAAGACAGUGUGGGUAUGGGCCAAUUACAAAAGCAAUUAUUUCUCCGCGAAUUAAAAGCGACGAAAUACAUCCGCGUCUUGUUCUUCCUUUGUUGGUGUUUUAGGAUGCGUUUGGAUAAAAAAAUUCAGUAGAUUAAUAAAAAAAGACAACAAUUUAGCUCAACUUAGUGGUUUUUUAUAUGGAUGAACGUUUAAUUAUGGCAGCGUAUAAGAUGAACGAUUUUGAUUAUCUCCAUCUCAAGGGUGAGCUCCACUAGGAGAGUUGGAGAUGGAUGAAGAGAUAGAGGUCGAGGAUGAGAGUUUGGUAGCAUUCUCUAAAAAAAUUAUUAACAAAGUUAAAUUGUGUUUUUAGAUUAUACCAAUUAAAAAAUUGAUAAUAUUUUUCAUGUUUUAAUCUGAGUUUUAAACCAAAAAAAACAAAAAAUUUUUUUUUAAAAAAAGUUUUAAAAAAGUAAAACUCUAAAUUAAAAGAUAAGUUUGUCAUAUUUUUUUAUAAAAAUUAACUACGAAAAAAUCUUAACAUAGUUUUAAAAGUAAAAAACAAAAAUAAAAUAAAAUUAGUGAUUGUAUAUAUCAGAGACUGCAGUGAAAUUUAUCCUUAUUUUAAUUAACAGAAAUGCUACAGUCACCGAUAGUUUUACCGAUUUUUUAUAGAUAGAACCAAAAUGACGUCGUUUUGAUGCAAAAAAUUUCAAAACGACGUCAGUCAACUAAAGUGAUUCUUACUGGGAAAAAACUAAAAAGCCCUUUUAAUACCAAAACGACGUCAUUUUGGUUCUAUCGGUGAAACCACCGGUCACUGUAGCCUUUCUGUUUAAUUAAUUAAAAGCCGCAAUACGUUAUUGGUGGAGGACAACACAAAAGACCAAGACAUUAGGGCAGUGGAGGACCAAGACUUGGUGGAGGGUAAAUUAAUAUAUAAAAAAAAAAUAGUAUUGUGGGCCCAGUAGAAAGUCAUAAUCGCUCCCAUUUUCAUAUAGAAAGACCAAGACUUUGGGACGGCUAAAAGACGGGAUGAGUGGGGACAAAAGAAAAAACACAAUUAUUUCUCUGCGUGAAGAAACGCAUAAAAAACACAAAACACAUCCGCCUCUGUUUUUCUAUCGUAGUUUUUUCAUGAUGGGGUUGGAUUAAAAAUUCAGUAGAUUAAAAAAAAAGAUAGAAAAAUUUAUGAAAAAAAUUUUUCUGGAGGCAAAUUUAACUCAAUUUGUCGUAUAAUUUAUUCCAAAUCGAACCUAAUUUAUUAUGACACAUAUAAGGUGUACGGUUCAAAUCAUCCACAGAUCAUUGAAUUCACAACAAAUUAUGAAAGGAAACGAAUGAAAAUUAAUUACUUGGAAGCAAGGGAGAAACAAUUGGAGAGCCACAACGUUUGACUUGAGAUGGAGAUGGAGUACUUGGAUAACAACUGGAGAGGGAGAAUUUGAGACAAUUGAAAGAGGAGAGAAUCGCACAAGCUGACAUGUGUGUAAAGAGAAGUGGUGGCAAAUUAUAGUGAAAGAUGAAAUUUAAUAAAUUGAGAUUUUUAGGCAGAGCAGUCUAUGAGAGAUAUUAAGGUAUGAGUGUAGAGGUGAUGAGUUGAUACUAUGAUCUAAAAUGGAGGAAGAAAUAGAGAUGGGUUAGAAGGAUCUCCAACUCACCUUCUAAUCUUCAUCUUAGAGGAUUGGGAGCUCGAACCUACUCUCUAAACACUUAUGUAGUAAAGUGGACGAUCAUUUGAUACUCUAUAUUUAAAGAUGACUUAUAUUCUUUAUACUUUCUUUAUUGGAUUUUGAAAAAGUAUAUGUAUAAAUAUAUAAAUUUAAUAAUUAUAAAAUUAGUAUUAUUGAAAAGAGAUCGCCAGUACCUUUAAAUGAGAUAUAAUUUUUUAAAAUUGAUAAUAUGUUGCACAAUAAAUUAUUUAUACUUUAUUUUUCAAGUAUAUUUAGAUUAACAACACUUAAACAAUAAAAUAUUUAAAUUAAAAAAAUUGAUGAUAACAAAAUUUUAUUUAUUUUAAUGUGUAUAUUAAGAAAAAAUUAAAGUAUUAAUCAAAAUGAAAGUUUAUUCUUUUUACACAAAAAUUAGCUCCGAUAGAAUCUUAAUAUUAAGUUUAAAAGUAAGAGAUAUUAGUGAUAUAUCUAAAAUUAAUAAAAUUUUAGAUAUUUUAUUUUUUAACUGUAUUUUUUAAAAAUUUAAUUAAUUAAAAGCCACGAGACAUUAGUGGAGGAGGACCAAAACUUGGCGGAUGGCAAUUAAUAAAAUAUAUUAUUGUGGCCCAAUAAUAUAAUAACUGAUUCCCAUUUUCAUAAGAUAAAUCUACAGUGACCGAUGAGUGUACUCGAAAUUAUUUACCGAAUGAGCAAAUGACGUCGUUUUUGGUGGUCAAACGUA
rnacentral:lncRNA from 1 species